CCUACGGGUGGCAGCAGUGGGGAAUAUUGCACAAUGGGGGAAACCCUGAUGCAGCGACGCCGCGUGUGUGAAGAAGUAUCUCGGUACGUAAAGCUCUAUCAGCAGGGAAGAAAAUGUCGGUAUCUGUCUAAGAAGCCCCUGCUAACUACGUGCCAGCAGCCGCGGUCAUACGGCGGGGGCAAGCGUUAUCCGGAUUUACUGGGGGUAAAGUGAGCGUAGACGGCCCGGCAAGUCCGGCGUGAAAGCCCCUGGCUUAACCAUGGAACUGCUCUGGACACUGGAGGGCUUGAGUGCGGUAGAGGCAGGUGGAAUUCCAGGUGUAGCGGUGAAAUGCGUAGAUAUUAGGAGGAACACCGGUGGCGAAGGCGGCCUGCUGGAC
rnacentral:rRNA from 1 species